AGAGUUUGAUCAUGGCUCAGAACGAACGCUGGCGGCGUGGAUAAGACAUGCAAGUCGAGCGAGAUUUUUUCUUGUAGCAAUACAGGGAAAAGUCUAGCGGCGAACGGGUGCUUAACACGUGGGCAACCUGCCGUGAAGUGGGGGAUAGCUCGCCGAAAGGCGAAUUAAUACCGCAUGUGAUUAGAGAGGACAUCCUUUCGAAAUUAAAGUCGGGGCAACCUGACGCUUCUUGUGGGGCCCGCGGCCUAUCAGCUAGUUGGUGAGGUAACGGCUCACCAAGGCUUUGACGGGUAGCUGGUCUGAGAGGACGACCAGCCACACUGGGACUGAGACACGGCCCAGACACCUACGGGUGGCAGCAGUCGAGAAUUUUUGACAAUGGGGGAAACCCUGAUCGAGCGACGCCGCGUGGAGGAUGAAGGUCUUCGGAUUGUAAACUCCUGUCAUUGGGGAACAAGGUGCAUACGUUAACUGCGUGUGCAUUGAUAGUACCCGAAGAGGAAGAGACGGCUAACUCUGUGCCAGCAGCCGCGGUA
rnacentral:rRNA from 1 species